ACUUUAUGACUCCAUCUUACAUAGAAAUACUUAAAUUAGCUUUAAAUUAAUUAACAUCAGUCAAAUAUCCUUAUCAGUAUAGAUUCAGCAGCAAAGAAUUCAGUGCAGAUUAACUUUCUGAAUUUGCUUUUCAGGCAAGCUUUGCAGUCUGUGCCAGGUUCUGUAGCUUCACUGCUGAACUGCCUGCAGUCCACCUAUGUAAAGUAUACCUUGAUGCAAUACAGUCAUGCCUUGCUGGUGAUGUAGCAGAGCGUGAGACCAUGAACCAGGCAACCAAAACCACCUGAGUUAAAAGAGUCCUGAUCAGCCAGUGAAGGAACUUCCUCUCUGCUGGAUAUGGUGUGUGGCCUCAUGUGCAAAAUGCAGAGGGAGCAAAAGAGAAGGCAGCACCACUCUAGCUGCAGUAAUGCAGAUACCAAAGAAAGGCUGAAGUCCAUGGCUCCCAUCCAUCUGGUGUGUCCCCUGGGAUUCCAACUCUGUCAGCUCCUGCUAUUUUCCAAUGAGAUGUUGUCCAAAAAGACCACAACAUACUGCACAAAGAGAUCCAAGGCCAAAAAAGGAGUACUUUGUCCAGGGCUCAAAGAGAUGUACCAUGCUUUUUCAGCAACCUGCGCAAUAUCAACUGAAUAAACCCCAUAAAAUUCUUUUUAGUAUGCAUGAAAGUAAAAACAGGACAAUUAAUGUGAAAAUGUCAAUACAAUGUGUAUUAUUUUGCUGUGUGGUUUG
rnacentral:lncRNA from 1 species